GUAGUCAUAUGCUUGUCUCAAAGAUUAAGCCAUGCAUGUCUAAGUAUAAGCAAUUAUACCGCGGAAACUGCGCAAUGGCUCAUUAAAUCAGUUAUCGUUUAUUUGAUAGUACCUUACUACAUGGAUAACCGUGGUAAUUCUAGAGCUAAUACAUGCUAAAAAUCCCGACUUCGGAAGGGAUGUAUUUAUUAGAUUAAAAACCAAUGGCCUUCGGGGCUCUCUGGUGAUUCAUAAUAACUUCUCGAAUCGCACGGCCUUGCGCCGGCGAUGGUUCAUUCAAAUUUCUGCCCUAUCAACUUUCGACGGCUGGGUCUUGGCCAGCCGUGGUGACAACGGGUAACGGAGGGUUAGGGCUCGACCCCGGAGAAGGAGCCUGAGAAACGGCUACUACAUCCAAGGAAGGCAGCAGGCGCGCAAAUUACCCAAUUCCGACACGGGGAGGUAGUGACAAUAAAUACUGAUACAGGGCUCUUUCGGGUCUUGUAAUUGGAAUGAGUACAAUUUAAAUCCCUUAACGAGGAACAAUUGGAGGGCAAGUCUGGUGCCAGCAGCC
rnacentral:rRNA from 1 species